GACGAACGCUGGCGGCAUGCCUAACACAUGCAAGUCGAACGAAGGCUUCGGCCUUAGUGGCGCACGGGUGCGUAACGCGUGGGAAUCUGCCCUUGGGUUCGGAAUAACAGUUAGAAAUGACUGCUAAUACCGGAUGAUGUCGUAAGACCAAAGAUUUAUCGCCCAAGGAUGAGCCCGCGUAGGAUUAGCUAGUUGGUGGGGUAAAGGCCUACCAAGGCGACGAUCCUUAGCUGGUCUGAGAGGAUGAUCAGCCACACUGGGACUGAGACACGGCCCAGACUCCUACGGGAGGCAGCAGUGGGGAAUAUUGGACAAUGGGCGAAAGCCUGAUCCAGCAAUGCCGCGUGAGUGAUGAAGGCCUUAGGGUUGUAAAGCUCUUUUACCCGGGAUGAUAAUGACAGUACCGGGAGAAUAAGCUCCGGCUAACUUCGUG
rnacentral:rRNA from 1 species